CAAUAGCGUAUAUUAAAGUUGUUGCAGUUAAAAAGCUCGUAGUUGGAUUUCGGGGUGGCCUGCCUGGUCCACCGCAAGGUGAGUACUGGUCAGCCGCCCUUCCUCUCGAAAGCCCCGACUGCUCUUCAUUGCAGUGGUCGGGUAGUUCGGGACGUUUACUUUGAAAAAAUUAGAGUGUUCAAGGCAGGCUAUCGCCUGAAUACAUUAGCAUGGAAUAAUGGAAGAGGACCUCGGUCCUAUUUUGUUGGUUUCUAGGGCCGAAGUAAUGAUUAAGAGGGACAGUUGGGGGCAUUCGUAUUCAGUUGUCAGAGGUGAAAUUCUUGGAUUUACGGAAGACGAACAACUGCGAAAGCAUUUGCCAAGGAUGUUUUCAUUAA
rnacentral:rRNA from 1 species